rnacentral:sRNA from 1 species
UUUCAGUGCAGAGUUUUCCUACACUUUUCCUGCGCUAGAGCAGCGAGCAGCCUGGAACAGACCCAGGCGGAGGACACCUGUAGGGGAGGGAGCGCCUGGAGGAGCUUAGAGACCCCAGCCCUGCGUGAUCUCACCAUGUGCGGAUUUGCGAGGCGCGCCCUGGAGCUGCUAGAGAUCCGGAAGCACAGCCCCGAGGUGUGCGAAGCCACCAAACAUCCCAGUUACCAGUGUCCUUGAAUUGAUAGUGGCUUCUGUUUGUCAGUCUCAUAUAAGAACUACAGCUCAUCAGGAGGAGAUCGCAGCAGGGUAAGAGACACCAACACCAUGUUCUGCACGAAGCUCAAGGAUCUCAAGAUCACAGGAGAGUGUCCUUUCUCCUUACUGGCACCAGGUCAAGUUCCUAACGAGUCUUCAGAGGAGGCAGCAGGAAGCUCAGAGAGCUGCAAAGCAACCGUGCCCAUCUGUCAAGACAUUCCUGAGAAGAACAUACAAGAAAGUCUUCCUCAAAGAAAAACCAGUCGGAGCCGAGUCUAUCUUCACACUUUGGCAGAGAGUAUUUGCAAACUGAUUUUCCCAGAGUUUGAACGGCUGAACGUUGCACUUCAGAGAACAUUGGCAAAGCACAAAAUAAAAGAAAGCAGGAAAUCUUUGGAAAGAGAAGACUUUGAAAAAACAAUUGCAGAGCAAGCAGUUGCAGCAGGAGUUCCAGUGGAGGUUAUCAAAGAAUCUCUUGGUGAAGAGGUUUUUAAAAUAUGUUACGAGGAAGAUGAAAACAUCCUUGGGGUGGUUGGAGGCACCCUUAAAGAUUUUUUAAACAGCUUCAGUACCCUUCUGAAACAGAGCAGCCAUUGCCAAGAAGCAGGAAAAAGGGGCAGGCUUGAGGACGCCUCCAUUCUAUGCCUGGAUAAGGAGGAUGAUUUUCUACAUGUUUACUACUUCUUCCCUAAGAGAACCACCUCCCUGAUUCUUCCCGGCAUCAUAAAGGCAGCUGCUCACGUAUUAUAUGAAACGGAAGUGGAAGUGUCGUUAAUGCCUCCCUGCUUCCAUAAUGAUUGCAGCGAGUUUGUGAAUCAGCCCUAUUUGUUGUACUCCAUUCACGUGAAAAGCACCAAGCCAUCCCUGUCCCCCAGCAAACCCCAGUCCUCGCUGGUGAUUCCCACAUCGCUGUUCUGCAAGACAUUUCCAUUCCAUUUCAUGUUUGACAAAGAUAUGACAAUUCUGCAAUUUGGCAAUGGCAUCAGAAGGCUGAUGAACAGGAGAGACUUUCAAGGAAAGCCUAAUUUUGAAGAAUACUUUGAAAUUCUGACUCCAAAAAUCAACCAGACGUUUAGCGGGAUCAUGACUAUGUUGAAUAUGCAGUUUGUUGUACGAGUGAGGAGAUGGGACAACUCUGUGAAGAAAUCUUCAAGGGUAAGGAAAACAUAAUACUAUCUUGAAUAUGAAAGCUAUUUCAUAUUUAAGAGCAAGAAACAAAAGGGUAGAAAUAUAUGCAUCACUUCAAAUGUUUGAUAAAACAUAUUUAAAACAAUGGUAAAAGAAU